rnacentral:rRNA from 1 species
UACGUAGGGUGCAAGCGUUAAUCGGAAUUACUGGGCGUAAAGCGUGCGCAGACGGUUAUUUAAGUCAGGUGUGAAAGCCCAGGGCUCAACCUUGGAAUUGCAUUUGAGACUGAAUAGCUAGGGUGCGGAAGAGGGAAGCGGAAUUUCCGGUGUAGCGGUGAAAUGCGUAGAUAUCGGAAGGAACACCAGUGGCGAAAGCGGCUUCCUGGUCCAGCACCGACGUCAGGCACGAAAGCGUGGGGAGCAAACAGG